AUUUGCAUCCAACGCUACUGAUAGGACUGGGCAACCUAGGUCACUGGCAACUGUGGAAAGGAAACUUUUGGUGGGAUUGUGAGGAAAAAACUGGAAGGGAGUGGGCAGAAGUGGAGACGGGGAACACAUACAGCUCUUUGGAAGAGUUUUGCUCUAAGGGGAGCAGAGACAAGCCAUGGCAGCUGAAGGGAAUCUGGAAGUCUCUGGUCUUUAAUAUUGAGCUAUACCCACUUGGGAUGCAUGUAAGUGGGUGGAAAGUCCUGGCAGAGGGGAGAACCCGCGGUGCAGGAGAGAGGGCGACUGUAGGAGAAAAGCCCUCAAGGAGUGAAGAGGGAUGGGCCCCGAGGAUGGGAGCAGGGUGGGGCAUUUAUUGCCACAGAAGGGGAGGCUGAGGAUAUGGUGUCAGAUGCAGAUGGGCUGAGAGUUCACCCUUCACCCUCUCUCCUAGGUCUGGGAACCUAAGAGGGCCAGAAGCUGGGGUCCAAGUCUACUUGUCCCACCCCGUCCACUGGAACUCCCUGGCCCCCAGCUCUGCACAGCUCCUGCCCUGCAGCCCUCGCCUGGCUGUGCUCCGGGAAGGCCUCGUGGGCACUUCACCCUGCUCUGCAGCCACACUCACGCCCUGGUCCAGGUCACACAGAGGCAAAGACCCCACUGGCUCAGACUUCACCAACGUGGAGCAGGGGAGAGAAGCUAAGUUCUGACCUUUGAUCAGAAGAUGGGGAAGCCACACUCAACACGUCACUGCCUUGGGAGGUGGAUUUGGGGAUGGUGGGUCCUGGGGAAAAAUGGGCCUUUGGUGUGGAAAUGACAUCUUUCCUGUUUCCGACCUCUGCCUGCCUCAUGCCAGGUGAGACACUUUCAUGCCUGUUUCCAUGAUUGAGAACAUGGGAGUACGCUUCUUUCCA